ACGGGCUCAGCGGCCAUGGCUCACGGGCCCAGCCGCUCCGUGGCAUGUGGGAUCUUCCCGGACCGGGGCACGAACCCGUGUCCCCUGCAUCGGCAGGCGGACUCUCAACCACUGCGCCACCAGGGAAGCCCUAUAUUGUCUUCCUUUUGAUGUUACUGACCGAGAUCUCAAUUACCUUCUUCAAAUGUUCUACAAUGUAUCAGGCCCCAUCUGCAUGGGACAGCCAAAUCAAUCAAAUCACAUCAAAUCAGAAGUCCUGAAAUAUCCAGCUAGCCUCCCUUCAUCAUCAUAACAUGGACAAUAAGAACAGAAGCCUCCACCUCUAGUCACUGAUCCCUGAGUCUUGGAUGACUACACAGGACUAAGGGCCACACUUGAAAUGAUGAUGAUGAAUGGAUGAUAAGAAAGACAGAUCACCAUCACCAUUAGUAAGGACUAAAUGAUCAACUGUAUAUAAAGGAAAACAAUAUGAUUAUAGAAUAAAAGGCAAAUAUUUUAAAAUCUUGGUGAUACAAGAAUACAAGUACAAAUGACAGAAACUGGGAAGCACAGUGGGAGUGACAGAAGUGGAUGGAAGGACAGAAGCACAGACAUCUUCACCUUAAAGGAUCCAGAGGUGCCACAAACCAGAAAUAAAAGUGUUUAAAGUUUCCAAAGGAACGGCGAGAGAAAAUCAAAUUACUUUAACUACAUGGGAAAAAAGGCAAGGAAAACAGAGGAGUGAGUGUUAAAUUCUUACCCAUCAUGGCAAGAAGAUAAUUAACAUGUCUAACAUUGACAAAUCAAGAGGUGGCUGACAGUCACCUAAGUGACCACCAUCAAUUCCUUCCCUUCCUCAUAUCAAGAGGUGGAGUCUUACUUUCCUCCCCUUGAAGCUGGGCUGCCUCAGUGACUCACUUGACCAGCAGAAUGCAGUGGAAGUGAAGUUCUGGGUCUUCUGAAGCUAGGUCAUAAGAAGCCAUGCAACUUCCUCCUGGGUCCAUUGGAACACUCACUCUUGAGAUGCUCUCUCUCUGAACACCAUAGCCAGGCUAUGAGAAGCUCAAGCCACAUGGAGGGGCCACAUACAGGAGCUCUAGGCAACGAGCCUGCUGAUGUCCGAGCAGGAAGCCAGCAUCAACUACCAGCUACUUAAACGAGCCCCUUUCAACCCAGUUGACCCUUUAGAUGAUCCAGUCCCAACAGCUACCUAACAGCACCCACAUGAGACCUCGUGCAAGGACCACCAAGCCUUCUUCCUUCUUCUUUUCUUUUUCUUUUUUUUUCAAUAUAAUUAAGAUCUCACGAGUCAAUGGGUUUCACUGGCCAAAGUCAGUAUUCUAACUGAUGAUCAAAAUGUCACAUUUUUAGCCAAAGUGAGAGCCAUCACGUUGGUUCCUGUGUCUUUUCGACAAGACCCUUUUAGUCUUUGAUAGGUUCCUUGCUUUCUGACACAAGAUUACCAGAGUUAUUUUGUUGUAUGCAAU